rnacentral:rRNA from 1 species
GUGCCAGCCGCCGCGGUAAUACGUAGGUCCCGAGCGUUAUCCGGAUUUAUUGGGCGUAAAGCGAGCGCAGGCGGUUAGAUAAGUCUGAAGUUAAAGGCUGUGGCUUAACCAUAGUACGCUUUGGAAACUGUUUAACUUGAGUGCAGAAGGGGAGAGUGGAUUCCAUGUGUAGCGGUGAAAUGCGUAGAUAUAUGGAGGACACCGGUGGCGAAGCGGCUCUCUGGUCUGUAACUGACGCUGAGGCUCGAAAGCGUGGGGAG